AAAGAAAGUUUAAGAAAACGUUUACAAGGAGUGGUUCCUGCCUUUACUUGAGAUAGGUUGGAGUGACUGCCUCUGUAGGUGGGGGAAAUACAACCCGACAGUGCCAUCUUGAGGAAGUGGACAAGAGGCAUCAAGGUGGGUUUUUGUUUUUGUGAUUCUCCCUCUCUCUCAGUAUAGAUAUAUAUAUGUAUAUCACAUUUUGUUCUGGCUGCCUGCCACUGGCAAGUGUGUUUACACUCAAGUUAGAGUGAACAAAUGGCUUCGGAAGUAAAAUUGCACUUUGUGUGCAUAUAAUGAUGCCAAUUACAAUGACAACCUUCCAGCUUUCUGCUGCAAACCAAGUGCUAGAGGUUUAUUUGUAAUGUUGAAGAGGUCUAUUCCCUUUAUCACAGGUGCAUGCUUAUAAACAGCCUGUAUAGAAAAGCCUUAUAAUAUGAAGGGGGUCAAGAAGGCAAUCUGCAGGAAAGUACAAAACUCCAAACAAAUGAGAAGAACCUCUCAAAUUGCCAAACUGUAGUGGAGUGGCUGAAACUGCCACGCAACCGAAGAGGCGUUUUCUGAACAAAGAGUAAAGCAACAACAACGACAAAAAUCUUACGGAACAGAAGUACCUUCACAGGUUGAUCUCCCUCAGGGUGGUUGCUAAGGCCAAGAUAUUUGUGGAGCGAUUGAUCCAAGGUGGAUGAGAAACUCAUUAAGCCUCCUAGGUAUUUCAGAUGAUAGUGGCAAGCUGGAUGAAUGGUUUGGGAAAGGAAGAAUGCAAUGGAUCAUAAAGUUGUAUGCAUAGUUUUACAUGCAGGAUCUAAGUCUUAGAGAAGGUUGGAGAUGGAGCAUGACUAGAUAUGAAAUGGAAGGUUAUGUAGGAAAAAAAAAUCAAUAUAGUUAUAGAAUAAGCAAUUGUUUAAGGUUCUGAGGAGCAGGGUUCAGACAUGUGUGCCUCUCCUAAAAAAAAAUACAGAGAGAAAAAUACAGAACAGCCUGAUUCAAGAGAGUAAAAUAGGAACAAAUACAGUGAGUUACUUCUGGAAUGCAGAAGUGGCUGAGCACAGAGCACAAAUGCUGAAGUGUGGAGAGCAUAAAUAGAUCUUCAAACACAUUCAUAGUAGCUAUUAAGACGAAGGAAGUAGGUAGUUUGCUAUAUCCCCACUGCAGAUAGGAAAAGAAAUAAUGGCUUUAUACUGCAGCUGGAAAUGCUCUGCUCAGAAACUAAAAGAAGCUCUUGUAGCUGAAGAUAGCUGAGCACCAGAGCUUUGAGGUGUUAUUAAAGGAAAGUUAGACACAUUUCUGCUUGUUGUUACAUGGGAAAUGCUUCAGGUCGCCCAUCUUUAGAUGGCCUUUUCUUACCUUUUCUGCAAGUUUGUGUUUUCACAUGCAAAAGACUGUGUUGAAUUAAAGGUAUUGCCCUGGAUAAUGUGACAGCUGCAUGUGUGUUAGUACUGAGGGUGCAAAGAAGACCCUAGCUGAUUGGGCUCCUUGAGUACCAGACAGUGUAAUCCCAGUGACAUUAAUUCCAAUAUGAGUCCUCUUUAUUUUCUGCAAGUUGUCAGUAACCCUUUAACCAAUGACGUAUCAUUGGAUUUCAUUAUGCUGUGCCUAAUUUUGAACGGAUUUGCUUCCUCAUCUCAGCCUUGGCUACAGCUGACUGGAAGUCAGCAGUCACCCUCCCCAUACACACCAUUACACUUUAUAAAAAGCAGCCAAAAAAUAGACGGAUACAGAAAAGGGGAGGGAGAAGGAAAGAAGAAGGAUGUGAUGAGGAAUUAAUGCUAUUUUUCUUCAAAUGCAUCUUUGCCACGUUUCAUUUGUAGACAAGAGUGUGUGCUACUGAAGAAGACCUUUCUGGGCUACUUUCAGGAGACUGAGGUACAGGAGCAUGGAUCUUAUUUUUGUGUUAGGUCUUAAAGAGUUGUUUAAGGGGUAUUAGUUCUAACUUGCACUGCUAAUUCUGCCUGGUUAAAAACAAAAGGUAAUAUCUGCAUGAAGCUUUUUCUCCUAGAAGGAUAAAUCAUUUGACAUCAUUUGACUAAUGUUUAAAGAUCUGAAUGUAUAUUAUUCUAUUGCCAAAAGUACUGGUGCUGUAAAAGAUGAGGGUGGAAAUAUCAUGCAGCUGCAGCAGACAGAUGCAGAUCUGAGGCUUGCUGCUGAUUGUUGACCAAGUCACUCUUUUGGGGAUCAUAAUCUAGUAAGUAGCCACAAGGAAGAUGGUGUGGUCACCUCUUACCUCUGCCUAUCAACUAAUGACACUUUUUUCCUUCAUUUUAAUAUGCCCAAAUCUGUAGGAUGAAUAUUUAGACAGUGUUGUACAAGUGAGGGAGUUCCUUCAGCAGAGCUUGUUUAGCUCUUCUCCAGACCCUGGUGUAUAAAGCAGUAGUUACAAUAAACAUGAUACAACCAGAGCUAGGAAAAUCACAAUGAAACAGGACUGCUCACCUUCAAUGUUCUGCAUUCUUCUUGGCUCUCUCCAAUUCUUAAUGCAUUUCUUCACUAUCGUGAUGGAGUGCAAAAAGAGAUUUUUGUCCUCUUUUCUGUGCUUGUUGUAGGAGGUUCAUCAGAUCAGGAUAGUGGAGAAGGUGUUUGAUUAAAGUCAUUCAUUCUGAUAGAUGCUGGCUGCAGCUCGUGAGAUAGCGUGUAGUCAAAAGACAACUUUUUGUGACUACAGAUAGAGAGAAAUUAAAAUUACAACUGAUAAUCAUGGAACAACUAUGUGAAGAUGUAUUACAGACUGUUACCUGUUAACACAGAUUCACAACAUUCACAUGCACACGUACUCUUCUGAUAUAUACAACAAUAGUUUUGAGAGCUUUGUCAGGAUGGAUGUCAAGAGGCGUGCCAGACUUUGCUACUGGCAGAGGUCAGGCUUCCCUCUAGCGGUUUGUUACCUUCUACACAGCUCCAUAACUAACUUGGCCCUUUUGGGUUUCAUAGCUCUCCCUAGCUUUUGACAGGUGUACGUGGGUGCAGGUGUUUCCCAUUCAGAGCAGCCUGCAGCUCAGCAGGAUGUACCUGGUGAGAGUUGGCUGCAGUUGGUCUCUCUUGCUCUGGCACAUAUGGGGACAUGAGUACUGACUGUGCUCUGAAAAAUAGAAGUCGAUAAUCUAUUUGGAUUUUUAGUUCUAGAAGAUAAUUCUAUGUGCAUAAAAAGUGAUUCUGUUUGCUCACUGAAGGCAAAAAUAGCUCCUGAUGGGCUGUUAUAUGCAAAGUGAGACCUAAAGCACAGACCCCAGUAACCUGGGAAGGCUUCUGUAGGCUUACAGUCCGUCACAGCAAGGGUGGCCUUUUCGGCUUUGCAGUUUGGUGCCAAGGCCCUGCAUGUGUCCUUUCUUGGGCUCAGGCGCUGCUCGUUACACCCAUGUUUGUGUAGGUGGCAUUGCAGCUCGGACUGGGCCAGCAGAGGACGUGCUGGAGUCACAUAUCCCACCAGCCUGAAAUCACUAAUAAGGAAUGACACUUACGUCUGAGCCAAAGGGAAAACCUCUGCCUUCCAGUGACUGAAGCAGAUGUUCUUAAAAGACCCAAUCGGUGGGAAGUGUAGGAACAUAGCUCUUUCAAAUACUGGUAAAGGUAACUUAGAGACAAAUUGCUGCGUUGCAAACCAAACCAUUCAACUAACCUACCGAAAAAACCCCACCAAACCCAACAAAAGCAAAGCAAAUACUGCCCUAAGCCUGGAAAUCCCAACUGGAGAACAUUGACUGGAUCUUCUGGUCCAUGCAGAACAUCUCUGAAUCAGGAGUUCAGGAAAAUAAAGCAGUUUAUAUGAAAUAAGGCAUCUGCUAGCUAACAGCGCCUUCUGUUCAGAAUUAUUAGUCAUGGGGGACUCCUAAUUUCUCUACUUUUGCAAACCUUAUGCAUCAGGAACUGAACUUACAUAAAAGUUUUUGUCCUUCCCCUCCUCCAGACCGCAGCUUCUCCCAGAUGUUUACUUGCUUUCUGUUCCCCUUACAUCCUUUGUGUGCCGCUGCUACGUUUUGUCACCAGUUUAGGGAAGAAAGCAGAAGAAGGCAGUUUUCUGUCUUCACUAACAUGCUAUUUACUUUUCAUUGGAGAUUGAGAGUUGCAUUCACAACAUUUUCUCUCAAAUCAGUAUUAAUACAAAUGGUAGAGGAUGAUUCAUGGGGAGUUUUUCUUUGGCUAACAUUUUAAAAUGAACCUUGAAGUAUUUUUGUUUUCCUUUUUUUUUCCUUCUUAUUUUUGUGAGACAGUUUUGUGGUCUGCUGAUGUUGCCGAAGUAACUAACAUCUCACAUUUGUUGGUCUUGAACUGGUUGUUUAUUGAGUGAAAUAAUUUAAUAGCCUGAGCUUUGCUGGUCAGACAUAAGCUGCUCUGGCCCAAGGUGGAGAAGCAAAGGGGCAGAUAAGGGAGCUGGAAGAUUGGCCAUGUUGGCCAUUGGUGCCAUGUUGACUGUGGAACUCAGCACUAAACCAAGGCAGAGAGGAUGACCUGAUCACUGGAAGUUGGGACUUCUCCUGCUGUACUUGUUGUUGAAUAUGGGCAUGUUGGAGGAGCAGAUGUGGAAUAACCGUUGCUCUGCCCUGGUGCCUGCUUAAGCAAAAGGUGAUUAGCAGUCCUAUGAAACCACGCUGGCCUUGUGUUAGUGUCUGAUGGAGGUUGCUGGCCUUUGCUGACACUGGAAAGGUGGGUGAGGUUCCUCCAGAAAUGCUGCUUUUAGAGACAAGUGCUGGAUUUUCAUGACACCAAGGCUCCCUGCUGCCUGUGUCAGCGCAGGUUAUAAACAUGUUCAACAGCAAGAGGGUAAAUACAGGCCUGAGGACAAGCUCUAGCAGUUGCUGCUCUUACUUGUGAAUUCAUCUUUCUGAUAAGAAAAAGUGUGUGGUUUUCACUUGCACGCAUUCCUCCCGAAGUAUAUCUGUCAGCCCUGCUGCUUGCCCUUUAUUCCACAAUCCACAGUAACUGCAGGGCAGCUGGUGGCUGUCAGUGAGAGGUGCUGUGGAAAGGAACAGGCUUGCACAGCUCAACACUUCACAAGAUCACAGCUUAAAAGAAGAUGGCCAAUGCUGUGGUUUUAACAUCUGUCCUGACAUAAAUCUGCUGUGAUUAUUCAGUUUGUCAGUGUGCUCACACCUCCAAGUAGUGGGGGUAUAGGUUCACAGCAGCCAGUCUUAUGGGAAUAUCUGACUUUGGUGUUCCUUUUCUUAAUAAACAUAAGGUGACCACCACAUCUUGGUUUUAGAUUAGGGAUAGUUCUCUGAAAAGGAAAGAAAAAGAAUGUGAGAGGCGGUGCUAAAGACAGAUAGGAGUAGCGUACUGUUUGCAGAAUUCUUUUUUCUUGCAUUUGUUGUGCUUGUGUUUUUGUUUGUUUAUUUUGCUUCCUAUCAACUCCCCAACACAGUUUCAAGUGCAUGAGAAGAAGCUGUUGUGGUUUCUCCCUCUGUAUUACUGGGUGAUGUAUGAUGUGGGAGCUGAAAAUGGAAGGAACUUGGCUAAGCACAAAAGUGACAAAUGUUAUUUAGCAUCUUUAUUUCACACAGCCCUGUUUGAAAGCAGAGCAGCAACUCCUCUUUCCGUCAGUUUUG